AGUCGAACGGCAGCACGGGUGCUUGCACCUGGUGGCGAGUGGCGAACGGGUGAGUAAUACAUCGGAACAUGUCCAGUAAUGGGGGAUAGCCCGGCGAAAGCCGGAUUAAUACCGCAUACGCUCUACGGAGGAAAGCGGGGGAUCGAAAGACCUCGCGUUAUUGGGGUGGCCGAUGGCGGAUUAGCUAGUUGGUGGGGUAAAGGCUCACCAAGGCGACGAUCCGUAGCUGGUCUGAGAGGACGACCAGCCACACUGGGACUGAGACACGGCCCAGACUCCUACGGGAGGCAGCAGUGGGGAAUUUUGGACAAUGGGCGAAAGCCUGAUCCAGCAAUGCCGCGUGUGUGAAGAAGGCCUUCGGGUUGUAAAGCACUUUUGUCCGGAAAGAAAUCCUGAUGGCUAAUAUCCGUCGGGGAUGACGGUACCGGAAGAAUAAGCACCGGCUAACUACGUGCCAGCAGCCGCGGUAAUACGUAGGGUGCAAGCGUUAAUCGGAAUUACUGGGCGUAAAGCGUGCGCAGGCGGUGAUGCAAGACCGAUGUGAAAUCCCCGGGCUCAACCUGGGAACUGCAUUGGUGACUGCAUCGCUAGAGUAUGGCAGAGGGGGGUAGAAUUCCACGUGUAGCAGUGAAAUGCGUAGAGAUGUGGAGGAAUACCGAUGGCGAAGGCAGCCCCCUGGGUCA
rnacentral:rRNA from 1 species